rnacentral:rRNA from 1 species
AUUGAACGCUGGCGGAAUGCUUUACACAUGCAAGUCGAACGGCAGCACGGACUUCGGUCUGGUGGCGAGUGGCGAACGGGUGAGUAAUGUAUCGGAACGUGCCCAGUCGUGGGGGAUAACGUAGUGAAAUUUACGCUAAUACCGCAUACGAUCUAUGGAUGAAAGCGGGGGAUCGCAAGACCUCGCGCGAUUGGAGCGUCCGAUAUAAGAUUAGGUAGUUGGUGGGGUAAAGGCCCACCAAGCCAACGAUCUGUAGCUGGUCUGAGAGGACGACCAGCCACACUGGAACUGAGACACGGUCCAGACUCCUACGGGAGGCAGCAGUGGGGAAUUUUGGACAAUGGGCGAAAGCCUGAUCCAGCCAUUCCGCGUGCAGGAUGAAGGCCCUCGGGUUGUAAACUGCUUUUGUACAGAACGAAAAGGUUUCUACUAAUACUAGGAGCUCAUGACGGUACUGUAAGAAUAAGCACCGGCUAACUACGUGCCAGCCGCCGCAGUAA